rnacentral:tRNA from 1 species
GCCCCCAUGGCGGAACGGCAGACGCAGGUGACUUAAAAUCACCCUCCAGCAAUGGAAUCCCGGUUCGAAUCCGGGUGGGGGCACCA